rnacentral:tRNA from 1 species
GCGUUUUUAGUUUAAUGGUAAAAUAUAGAUUUCCAAAAUCUAAGUUAAAAGUUCAAUUCUUUUAAAACGUG